rnacentral:rRNA from 1 species
GGUAAUACGAAGGGUGCAAGCGUUACUCGGAAUCACUGGGCGUAAAGCGUCCGCAGGCGGCCAGGUCAGUCGGGUGUGAAAGCCCGGAGCUCAACUCCGGAACUGCAUUCGAUACUGCCUGGCUCGAGUACGGGAGAGGAUGGCGGAAUUCCUGGUGUAGAGGUGAAAUUCGUAGAUAUCAGGAGGAACACCGGUGGCGAAAGCGGCCAUCUGGCCCGAUACUGACGCUCAUGGACGAAAGCGUGGGGAGCAAACA